rnacentral:sRNA from 1 species
UGACUUGAAAUAAGGCCGUAAAAGGCUUUAGGCUGGUGAUUUUAUAAUCACCAGCCU